rnacentral:rRNA from 1 species
UACGAAGGGGGCUAGCGUUGCUCGGAAUCACUGGGCGUAAAGCGCACGUAGGCGGAUUGCUAAGUCAGGGGUGAAAUCUUGGAGCUUAACUCCGAAACUGCAUUCGAUACUGCCGUGCUUGAGGACUGGAGAGGAGACUGGAAUUUACGGUGUAGCGGUGAAAUGCGUAGAUAUCGUAAGGAAGACCAGUGGCGAAGGCGGGUCUCUGGACAGUUCCUGACGCUGAGGCACGAAGGCCAGGGGAGCAAACGGG